rnacentral:misc_RNA from 1 species
AAGGUUUCCGUAGGUGAACCUGCGGAAGGAUCAUUGUUGGAUCGUAAGACUCGGACUGCGAACACGUGACGAGCUCGAGUCGGGGCGAGGAAUCCAGCAUUCACUCGCCCCGCCUCGCACCCGUGGACCCGUCGCUCGCGUUCCAGCGGCGACGGUUGCUGCGGAUCCUAACGAACCCCCGGCGCGGAUAGCGUCAAGGAGUACAUGUGCGAACUUGGGUGGGUGCACGGUCGCGCGUCCUCGCGCGGCUCGUGCGGUUCCGCCCCUUCCACGCAGCGAACUUUAUGACUCUCGGCAAUGGAUAUCUAGGCUCUCGCAUCGAUGAAGAACGUAGCGAAAUGCGAUACUUGGUGUGAAUUGCAGAAUCCCGUGAACCAUCGAGUCUUUGAACGCAAGUUGCGCCCGGAGCCGUCAGGCCGAGGGCACGUCUGCCUGGGCGACCAAUAGGCGAUCGCUCCCCCCCCACCCCGAAUGCGGUGGACCCGGGUGGUGGAAGCGGAAGCUGGCCAUCCGUGAGCUUAUAGGCAUCGCAAGAUCCUUCGCGGUUGGCUCAAUUCUCUCGACGAUGUCUUGCCUCUGGCGCAUCACGUCGCGCGGUGGAUCGCACUCGUUGCUUCACGCGCCGUGUCGUCUCGGCGAGACCUCCGUGGCCAUCUCGAAAGCUGAGUAUCCCCAGGUCAGGCGAGGCCACCCGCUGAGUUUAAGCAUAUCAAUAAGCGGAGGAGAAGAAACUUACGAGGAUUCCCUUAGUAA